AACGAACGCUGGCGGCAUGCCUAACACAUGCAAGUCGAACGAGACCUUCGGGUCUAGUGGCGCACGGGUGCGUAACGCGUGGGAACCUGCCCUUAGGUUCGGAAUAACUCCCCGAAAGGGGAGCUAAUACCGGAUAAUGUCUUCGGACCAAAGAUUUAUCGCCUUUGGAUGGGCCCGCGUUGGAUUAGCUAGUUGGUAGGGUAAAAGCCUACCAAGGCGACGAUCCAUAGCUGGUCUGAGAGGAUGAUCAGCCACACUGGGACUGAGAAACGGCCCAGACUCCUACGGGAGGCAGCAGUGGGGAAUAUUGGAAAAUGGGCGAAAGCCUGAUCCAGCAAUGCCGCGUGAGUGAUGAAGGCCUUAGGGUUGUAAAGCUCUUUUACCCGGGAUGAUAAUGACAGUACCGGGAGAAUAAGCUCCGGCUAACUCCGUG
rnacentral:rRNA from 1 species